UACAGAGGGUGCAAGCGUUGUUCGGAAUUACUGGGCGUAAAGGGCGCGUAGGCGGCCCGCUAAGUCGAACGUGAAAUCCCCAGGCUCAACCUGGGAACUGCGUCCGAUACUGGGAGGCUUGGAUUCGGGAGAGGGAUGUGGAAUUCCAGGUGUAGCGGUGAAAUGCGUAGAUAUCUGGAGGAACACCGGUGGCGAAGGCGGCAUCCUGGACCGAGAUCGACGCUGAGGCGCGAAAGCUAGGGGAGCAAACGGG
rnacentral:rRNA from 1 species